rnacentral:rRNA from 1 species
UACGUAGGGUGCAAGCGUUGUCCGGAAUUAUUGGGCGUAAAGAGCUCGUAGGCGGUCUGUCGCGUCGGCUGUGAAAACCCGGGGCUCAACCCCGGGCCUGCAGUCGAUACGGGCAGACUAGAGUGCGGUAGGGGAGACUGGAAUUCCUGGUGUAGCGGUGAAAUGCGCAGAUAUCAGGAGGAACACCGGUGGCGAAGGCGGGUCUCUGGGCCGAUACUGACGCUGAGGAGCGAAAGCGUGGGGAGCAAACAGG